GAGUUUGAUCCUGGCUCAGGAUAAACGCUGGCGGCGCACAUAAGACAUGCAAGUCGAACGGAAGUCGUUAUGAUGAUUUCAACACUGACAGAGAACUUGUUCAAAGAAAGUAGAGAUUGACUUAUAACAAUGGCUUUAGUGGCGGACUGGUGAGUAACACGUGAGCAACCUGCCUAUCAGAGGGGAAUAACAGUGAGAAAUCAUUGCUAAUACCGCAUAUGCCAUAAAUAUCACAUGAUAAAAGUGGGAAAGGAGUAAUCCGCUGAUAGAUGGGCUCGCGUCUGAUUAGAUAGUUGGUGGGGUAACGGCCUACCAAGUCGACGAUCAGUAGCCGGACUGAGAGGUUGAACGGCCACAUUGGGACUGAGACACGGCCCAGACUCCUACGGGAGGCAGCAGUGGGGAAUAUUGCACAAUGGAGGAAACUCUGAUGCAGCGACGCCGCGUGAGGGAAGAAGGUCUUCGGAUUGUAAACCUCUGUUGUCAGGGACGAUGAUGACGGUACCUGACGAGGAAGCCACGGCUAACUACGUGCCAGCCGCCGCGGUAAUAC
rnacentral:rRNA from 1 species